rnacentral:tRNA from 1 species
AGGGGUAUAGCUCAGUUGGUAGAGCAGCGGAUUCCAAAUCCGCAGGUCCUGGGUUCAAGUCCUAGUGCCCCUG